ACGGGAGGCAGCAGUGAGGAAUAUUGGUCAAUGGACGCAAGUCUGAACCAGCCAUGCCGCGUGCAGGAAGACGGCUCUAUGAGUUGUAAACUGCUUUUGUACGAGGGUAAACGCUCUUACGUGUAAGAGCCUGAAAGUAUCGUACGAAUAAGGAUCGGCUAACUCCGUGCCAGCAGCCGCGGUAAUACGGAGGAUCCAAGCGUUAUCCGGAUUUAUUGGGUUUAAAGGGUGCGUAGGCGGUUUGAUAAGUUAGAGGUGAAAUACCGGUGCUUAACACCGGAACUGCCUCUAAUACUGUUGAACUAGAGAGUAGUUGCGGUAGGCGGAAUGUAUGGUGUAGCGGUGAAAUGCUUAGAGAUCAUACAGAACACCGAUUGCGAAGGCAGCUUACCAAACUAUCUCUGACGUUGAGGCACGAAAGCGUGGGGAGCAAACAGGAUUAGAUACCCUGGUAGUCCACGCAGUAAACGAUGAUAACUCGCUGUCGGCGAUACACAGUCGGCG
rnacentral:rRNA from 1 species